rnacentral:rRNA from 1 species
AUACGAAGGGGGCUAGCGUUGUUCGGAAUUACUGGGCGUAAAGCGCGCGUAGGCGGACUGAUCAGUUGGGGGUGAAAUCCCAGGGCUUAACCCUGGAAUUGCCUCCAAUACUGUCAGUCUUGAGUUCGGGAGAGGUGAGUGGAAUUCCUAGUGUAGAGGUGAAAUUCGUAGAUAUUAGGAAGAACACCAGUGGCGAAGGCGGCUCACUGGCCCGAUACUGACGCUGAGGCGCGAAAGCGUGGGGAGCAAACAGGAUUAGAAACCCCAGAGUCC